CCUACGGGUGGCUGCAGUGGGGAAUCUUGCGCAAUGGGCGAAAGCCUGACGCAGCGACGCCGCGUGGGUGACGAAGGCCUUCGGGUCGUAAAACCCUGUUGCAGGGGACGAAGGAAGUGACGGUACCCUGCCAGAAAGCCCCGGCUAACUACGUGCCAGCAGCCGCGGUAAAACGUAGGGGGCGAGCGUUGUCCGGAAUUACUGGGCGUAAAGGGCUCGUAGGCGGUAACUCAAGUCAGUUGUGAAAACCGACGGCUUAACCGGAGGAUUGCAGUUGAUACUGGGUUACUUGAGGCAAGGAGAGGAAGGUGGAAUUCCCGGUGUAGCGGUGAUAUGCGUAGAUAUCGGGAGGAACCCCAGUGGCGAAGGCGGCCUUCUGGUCUUGACCUGACGCUGAGGAGCGAAAGCCAGGGUAGCGAACGGGAUUAGAUACCCGAGUAGUC
rnacentral:rRNA from 1 species